CGCAACUCUGAUAUCCUUGGCACAAUACCCGCUCUUCUUGGCCCGAUGCCCGAGUCCACGACCCGAAGCCUUCUGUCGAUACGUCGACUGAUCCACCGGCCCGACGUCCAAUCUUCUGACAUAUUCCUCCGGCACAACAUGAUUUUCCUGCUUUAAUUGUCUCAUCCUGAUCGAGGCAUCCUGCGUCACUCAAAACGCA
rnacentral:lncRNA from 1 species